rnacentral:rRNA from 1 species
GUCUUAUUGUAUAUUUAUAUUAAGUCUUACCUGCUCAAUGAUAUUAAUUAUUAAAUGGCCGCAGUAUUUUGACUGUGCAAAGGUAGCAUAAUCAUUUGUCUUUUAAUUGUAGACUUGUAUGAAUGGUUUGAUGAAAUAUUGACUUUCUUCAUAUAAAAUAUAUUUAAUUUAAUAUUUUAGUUAAAAAGCUAAAAUGAAUUUAUAGGACGAGAAGACCCUAUAGAAUUUUAUACUCAAUCAUUAUAAACAAUUUUGGUUUUUAAUUUAUUUUAUAUUGUAAGGUAUUUUGUUGGGGUGACAGAAAGAUUUAAAUAACUUUUAUUAUUUAUGUUUUAUUUAUUUAUAAUUUAAUGAUCCUUUUUUGUGGAUAAUAAGAUUAAAUUACCUUAGGGAUAACAGCGUAAUUUCAUUGGAGAGUUCUUAUCGAUAGUGGAGUUUGCGACCUCGAUGUUGGAUUAAAGUUAGUUUUUGGUGUAGGUGCUAAAUUACUAGGUCUGUUCGACCUUUAAUAUUUUACA